rnacentral:lncRNA from 1 species
CUCAGAGAAGGCAAGUGACACACAGGGUUGAACUCAUUGAUUAUAUACAUGAUUUUCACAGGAAGAAACACGCAGCUUCCAAGGCAAGCUUUUUUGAAAAUCAAAUCCCAUGAUAACUGUUUUAGUUAGCUUUUUCACUGCUGUGACCAAAAGACCUGACUAGAAAAACUAAAGGAGGAAAAGUUUACUUGGGGGCUCACAAUUUCAGAGGUCUCAGUCUAUAUAGGAUAGCUUUAUUCCUCAGGGCUCAGGGUAAGGAGGAAGAGUGUGGUGGAGGAAAGCAGCUCAAGACAUGGAACAGGAAGCAGAAAGAAAUUAAGCUCAGUUCACAAAAUAUAAAAGGCACACCCCCAAUGACCCACUUCUUUCAGCCAUACCCAACACGCCUACAGUCACCACUGUUAAUCCUUAUUAGGGGAUUAAUACACUGAUUUGGUUAAACCUCUAUACCCCAUCAUUUCUGCUCUAAACUUUCUUGCAUUCUCUCACACAAGAGCUUUUGGGGGACUCUGCAGAUCUAAAGCACAACAAUAAUCAUUUGAUAUUUGGGGCUCGGGGUGUUUCUUUUUGGUUAAGCAGUCUAGCCACAAAUCAUUUGUGGGCACAUUGAGUAAGUCUUUGAAUCUGGUGACAUUAAAUUGAUUAUGUUUUUGUCCUUGUUGAUGUGUUGCAAGCACAGCUGGAGGUUUCGUUUAUCUAAGGGUCUCCAUCUACUGAGUCUCUUUUUCUCUCUCCCUGAGAACUCACCUGUGUCAAAAUGGCCUCCAGAAUCUUUAGAAAGCUGUUUCGGUAUACCCCGAACUUCAAGGUCAAGAGUAGAGACUGCUGAGACUAGAGGAGCCACUUACUGCACGCAGAGGGGUAGCCCAUCUGGGACUACCAGGCCUCAGUCACUCACUCACUCACUGUUCAGAGGUGAGUCAUGGAGGUGAGAAGACAGGGUCAAAUUCUUAACUCAGUGGUAUCUCUGGAGUCUGUGUGGGGUGGGAUGCUGUGGGCUCUUUGAGCUGACCUUAGCAGCAGGCCUAGUGCUGAAUGAAGU